AGGUAACUAAGGCAGUGGGUGCUGCUGAGGUAACUAAGGCGGUCUGAAGCUGCUGAGAUAAAUAAGGCGGUCUGAAGCUGAUGAGGUAACUAAGGCGGUCUGAAGCCGCUGAGGUAACUAAGCAGAAACUAGGACAGGCUCCUCACUCACCAAUAGUUAAUUUUUUUUGCAUAUUAUCUGACCAUUUUCACGUGCUGUAUGUGCAUUUAUCAAAACAAUUAGUACAAACACUACUAUAACACACUUAAGAUUGCUCGUGAAAGCCUGUAUAAUCGUGUAAAAUUCUUAGUUUACGUCAUGGAAUAUGUCCGUGCUAGCAGAAUGAAAGGUCGUUGUUGUUUACAACCAUAACCCUAGUUAAACUGCCAUGUCUCACACAUACGAUGAAAAGUAAAAAUAUAAAGAAAAGGUUAUUUUGAGAAACGGAAAGAAAAGGCACAAUAGAGAAAAAAAAAAAAAACAUUUAAAAACGAAUGAAGCCAGCCGUCAAAAAGAGAGUACACAGGCCGAGUUCAAAGGCAGUUUUCUCCCAGUGAUGGGGGUCACGACCCCACACCACAGCAAAAUAAGUUAUUCAGCAAGACAAAAAAAAAAGAAAGAAGAAGUGGGGGGGAAAGGAAAAGAAAAGUCAACCGCAGAUAAGCCCUCACUCAGCGCAAGCCAAAGCUCUGAGUCUCUAAAACACACACACACACACACACAGUGUGGUUUCCAGAUGACUAGUCCUCCGUCGUCAGGUCACGGACGUCUUGAAGGGAAGAUGGAGGACAAGCACUGAUUAGGGUCAAUGGAGGGAUAUUCUGUUGCCUCCCGUGGGACACAGACACAGGGCAAGUGAGUCAGCUAGUGAGGACAGAAGAUUGAAUGAGUCUGAGAUCAUAUGCCAGGUUGAGCUUUCCAUUUCAUAACCUUAAAUGUCAACUUCAGAGAAACAAUUGAAUUGAAUUGUUAUUGAGUAAAGCUUUACCAUAGUGCAUGUCUAUUUAGAAACAAGCUUAGUACAAACCAAUCAAAUAUUGCACUAUUGCACUACUACCCAUGUCACUGCAGAGGAUCAUGGGAUGUGUAGUUUUUUUUUU
ensembl:lncRNA